rnacentral:rRNA from 1 species
UACGAAGGGGGCUAGCGUUGCUCGGAUUUACUGGGCGUAAAGGGCGCGUAGGCGGACAGUUUAGUCAGAGGUGAAAGCCCGGGGCUCAACCUCGGAAUUGCCUUUGAUACUGGCUGUCUUGAGUAUGGAAGAGGUAUGUGGAACUCCGAGUGUAGAGGUGAAAUUCGUAGAUAUUCGGAAGAACACCAGUGGCGAAGGCGACAUACUGGUCCAUUACUGACGCUCAUGCACGAAAGCGUGGGGAGCAAACAGG